UACGUAGGCAGCGAGCGUUGUUCGGAAUUACUGGGCGUAAAGAGUGUGUAGGCGGUGCUCUAAGUUCGGUGUGAAAUCUCCCGGCUUAACUGGGAGGGUGCGCCGGAAACUGGAGUGCUCGAACGUGGGAGAGGAAAGCGGAAUUCCUGGUGUAGCGGUGAAAUGCGUAGAUAUCAGGGGGAACACCUGCGGUGUAGACGGCUUUCUGGACCAUUGUUGACGCUGAGACACGAAAGCGUGGGUAGCAAACAGG
rnacentral:rRNA from 1 species